GUUUCUGAUAAACUGUAGGUUUCCAUUUGAUUGGAAGGCUGAACAGGUGGUUUGGGAGAUGAGCAGUGUUGCCCAACGUCACAAUCGGUGGUGGUAUAAAUUCCCCCGGGUUUGUCCUCCAGUCAUUUAUCUUGAGAAAAGCCUGAGGUAGGAUAGCUACAUUACGCGCAAUUGUUGUUGUUAAGAAACCGAUAACAAGAUGACUAAAAUGUUGAUGGCUUACAUUGGAUUUCUUCUCCUUGCCAUGCAUUUUUCAUCACAGGUCCACGCGCAAAACACUACCACACAGUCCCCUGCCAUGAAUGCUACGACCAGAGCUGGCGGUGCGAGUUCCAACAUGACCAAGAUGCCCGAUGUCACCAAGAACAACAUUCCCAAAGGAGCCAGUGCAUCCUUGCAGUCCAGCUCGGUUGCGCUCAUCAUACCCAUCAUGGUGGGGGGAUCACUACAGGGGUGCUUCUAGAGGGAUGUUGCGCAGUGAAUCGACACCGGCAAGACUUGAACAUCAGCGGCCGAGAUGGGGCAAACAUUUUUACUAAGAGCACAUUUUGUAUAUACUUUUCAGAAAGGCAGUCAUGUGCGCUCCUAACCGAAGAGAUUCGGUGGAGUUCCGUGCUGGACGAGAACUCAUUUCUACUUCACUGAUGGGAGUUGUUAUUUGCCCUCACACCUUCAAACCAGUAGGCCUUCACACCUCGCACACUGGCCCCAUGCCCAUAGGCCGAACUGUACGGUCCUCUCCAUGGAGGCAGUCCAUGAUGAGUAUGUACUGUACGGAACUCUGCUCUUUGAACCGUUUGGUCCCGCUGUUCCUGUGUAGACACCAGGGGGUAGUUUAGUAAUUUGUUAAGAAGUUAACAUAUCUAAAGAAAUGUUGGUUGAGGCACUUUGAAAAUAAGGUAUAAAUGAAUGUGGCACAGGCUUGAUGUACACUUGUGAUUUAUUUCUAGAAUAUGGCAUUGUAUGGGUUAGCAUGUGAGAUUUAAUUGUAUAAAUCAUGAUGUGAUAUGCUUAGAUUU